rnacentral:rRNA from 1 species
CAGCCGCCGCGGUAAUACAGAGGGUGCGAGCGUUAAUCGGAUUUACUGGGCGUAAAGCGUGCGUAGGCGGCUUUUUAAGUCGGAUGUGAAAUCCCUGAGCUUAACUUAGGAAUUGCAUUCGAUACUGGGAAGCUAGAGUAUGGGAGAGGAUGGUAGAAUUCCAGGUGUAGCGGUGAAAUGCGUAGAGAUCUGGAGGAAUACCGAUGGCGAAGGCAGCCAUCUGGCCUAAUACUGACGCUGAGGUACGAAAGCAUGGGGAGCAAACAGGAUUAGAUACCCCGGUAGUCCCUGUCUUAUACAC